CUUAAUCUAGAGGCAUCGAAUUAUCAGCUGAGAAUAAGUUCCUUCCUCGUCUUACAAUUAUUUGAUAAGUCAGAACACGCUCUCUACAUCUCCAAUUGCACACUUGGCCUUUUGGCUGUGUGCUGGCACGCUCCACAAUCUAUUCAUCAAAUGAUGUUUGUUCCUUGAUCUCUCGGCUAUAUAAGCCGAGGUGAUUUUCAGAGGCAACACGCAUUCCUUAAUAGUUGUGUUCGAUUUUGAUCUUCCCUUGGAUUCGUCAUUUUCAAGAAACAUAUUCAUAGGAGGCUUGGCGAAGACCACAACCUUAGCCCAGUGAUUGAGCGAAGGAGAAGAGGACGGAUUUGGGUCGGGGUUUGUUUUGGCUUCCUUUCUUUUGAUUUAAAAAGCUUCCAUUUGUCUUGUGGAAUUUUUAUUUUUAAUCUUUUAUUAAUUGAAUUCCAGCCAUCAAGGGGAACUCUGUGAUUCAAAGGCAGGAUCUGAUGCUUCGGACAGUAUCUUAACUAGGUGUGCUCUUUGAGAGAAACUGGGUUUAUAUCUAUCUCUCUGAUUCUCUCUAUAUGUCAUAUAAUUGAACUUUGUGUAUUGAUUUCCGUGGUUUGAGCAAUGGCAGUGUUGGACGAUGGGAAUCAGACGCAGGGGAACAGUUUCAUAUAUGUGACUUUUGAUUUUCGAUUGUAAUGUUUACGAGGUUUUAUUUUUUCCAUAAGUGUUUCUUUCCGAUUCUUCAUUUUUUAGUUGGUUUCUGUUCAGCUGUGGUGUUACAUUGUUUAGCUGUUAGAGAUCUUUAGCUAAUCACUUUGGAAUGAAACUGCUGUGUGAUUGCUUAUAGUUUUGGGAGGACUUGAACUGUUUAUACAUGCGAAGUAGCAGUGUAAAUUUCUACAGUUUAUUAAUGUUGGAACCAUGGUUUCUCCGAUAGUUUUUGCACGCCGUAGUUUGUCUUAUCUCAUGAGUGAAAUGCCACAGGAAGCCUUGAAUAAUGCAUCACAAGCCCAAGUGAUUUCCCCUAUGGCACAUUGCAUCCUAUAUGCAAGCUGCAGCUCUUUUUUUACUUGGAAGGGAUGAUGAGACACAAGUAGCCCUCAAAGAGCGUUGUGUACUUGAAACUAAAAGGAAAGCAACUGCUUGACAAUCUAGUUCAUCAGAUCUAAACCCGAGGCUCUUUCCCUUUUAUUGGAUUGCUGUUUUCUGAGAGAUGAGCAUAGGACUGCAGAAACAGGGAUCAUAACUCAAAUCAAUCAGUCUUGAAUAUAGGCAACAGAGUUGAAGCAGAAGUGAUCCUUAUCGUCUAUUUGCAUGGCUGGUUCAUUUGUUGUGGUCUAGAAGCAUUCUUUUGCAACACUAUUGGAUGGGUUGGUUUGGUCCCUUUGCAUUGGGUGGAACCGUGGGAUUAACAGGGAAACUUCUGUUGUUAAUUACAAAUGUGCCCUUCAUUGUUGUUCAUUUACCUGUUUCCAGUACAACAAUCUUGGGAAAUUACUAUGAUGCAUAUGGAACAUUAUAUUUUUGUAAAAGGGUUCUAACUUUUGUGGAUGUUGCAUUGACAAGGUCAAGGUGAAUAGAAAAAUUGCCAUUACCAUGGGUUUUAUUUAUGUACAGUGCCAUUUGUCAAGGUCACUCCUGUUGACUUGAAAUCAGCUACUUAUGUUCUGUUAGCACUUGUUAAUAAAAUUUGUUUGAUUUAUGUACAGUGCCA